rnacentral:rRNA from 1 species
UACAGAGGUCCCGAGCGUUGUUCGGAUUUAUUGGGCGUAAAGGGUGCGUAGGCGGCGGAGUAAGUUGGGUGUGAAAUCUCGGAGCUUAACUCCGAAACUGCAUUCGAUACUGCCGUGCUUGAGGACUGGAGAGGAGACUGGAAUUUACGGUGUAGCGGUGAAAUGCGUAGAUAUCGUAAGGAAGACCAGUGGCGAAGGCGGGUCUCUGGACAGUUCCUGACGCUGAGGCACGAAGGCCAGGGGAGCAAACGGG